UAGAGCAGUUGCCUCCUGUCACUAAGAGCCCUGUGCCAGUCUUUCUGUGCUUUCAGGACCAUAGAUUAAUCAUAGAAUUGAUUAUGUGGAAGAGUAUGAUUAGGUUUAUCUUACUCCUAGACUCUUGAGGGUAUGGAUGUUGCCUUGAAGUCUCUACUAAUGUCUUGGGAAGAGUUAAAGUCAUGGGGUAGGUAUUAAAUACAUGUAUGUUAAAUGAAAGAAGCCAGACAUAGAAGAUCAUGUAUUAUUUGAUUCUGUUUACAUGAAGUGUCCCCAAAAGGCAAAUCUGUAGAGACAGAAAGUAAUUAAUGGUUGUUUGGGGCUGGGCAUUACAGGGAUUGACUGUGAAUGGACAUAAGGGGUCUUAGUUGGGUGAUGAAUGCCUAGGCAGUAACUAAGGCGUCAUCUUCUCUGGAUCUCAGAUUACUUUACUGUAAGGGUAUGUGGUGAGGAUUGGGAGGGAGACUGGAUGAGAAUGUUGGUUUUCAAACCACACCAUGAUGUAUGAAGAUGCUUUAGGGAUUCUGCAGACAAUGAAGUAAUGACAUAACACUAAAUAACAGAGAUUUAGAUCCUCAGGGAGCCCAAUCAUUAUCUUUAACUCUAUUGAUGUUUUACUUAAGAGUAGUUCAUUUAGAAAAAAAGAACUAAAUGUACACUAAGUGCCAGUAAGAUGUAUGAAAAUUACUAAACUAGAUAAGGUCUAAUAUAGAUUUGGAAGCCAAAAAGCCAGCCUCUUUUCCAACAUUUAGCAAAGAUUAUCUUGACUGAGAUACUUUAGGUACUCAAAUUUUCAUUCAAUAAAUUUUAGGAUUUUUCACAUUAAAAUAAUAGUUAUAAACACAUAUACUUUAAAAUCAUGUUUUUAAAUUCCUAACAUAUUUCUAACACUUGUAUUUGUUUAACAUUUUGCAGAUUUUUCUAAUGAAAGAAAAGCCUAUUUGUAUGUCUAAAGCCAGGCAUGUUGGUUGUGUUUAGAUGUCCUGGUAAUGAAAAUUUGCUUAAUAAAUUGAGGAUCACUCUUAAUAAAUCCGAGAUUUUUCUCAAUACACAGAAGAUAGGAGAAUAAAGCACUUUUCUUUGUUUUUUUUUUUUGGUUUUUGUUUUUGUUUCUGUUUUUUUGUUUUUUUCGGGGGGGACGGAGUCUUGCUCUGUCGCCCAGGCUGGAGUGCAAUGGCGCGAUCUCAGCUCACUGCAAGCUCCACCUCCCGGGUUCAUGCCAUUCUCCUGCCUCAGCCUCCCGAGUAGCUGGGACUACAGGCGCCCACCACCACACCCAGCAAAUUUUUUUCAUAUUUUUAGUAGAGACGGGGUUUCACUGUGUUAGCCAGGAUGGUCUCAAUCUCCUGACCUCGUGAUCUGCCUGCCUAGGCCUCCCAAAGUGCUGGGAUUACAGGCAUGAGCCACCGCGCCCGGCCAAAGUCCUUUUCUUGAAUUCUUGAGUUUAACAUUUCUGCAGAAGCAGUUAGCUUAGACAUACAGAAUCAGAAUUGCUUCCAUUUAGCAUUGUUCCUGCUUUAGAAGAACCAUUUUCCUUGAUAAUAAAUGAUUUCUAUGCUCACAGAAAAUUAGGAAGAUAUAUUGAGUAUAAAAAGAAAAUAAAAAAGCAUCCAUAGUACCACCACCUAGAGAUAUCCACAGUUACCAAUUUUGGCACAUUUCAGUCUUUUUAUUCAACACUUAGUAUGUGUAUAUUUACUUGAUCUUAUAGGCCAAACAAAUAUUAGAAAAAAUUACAAAUUCUGAAAUACUUCUUUGUAUAGAAUUUUAUUAUCUUUCUUAAUCAUUUGUGUGAUAGAAUAUAUUAGUUCUCUUGUAGAAAUUUGGUGACUGAAAUGGUUUUAAAACAUUUUAAAAGGCAGAUAAAUGAGACAGUUCCAUGAAACCAGGUAGCAAUGAUUUCAGAUAAAAACUGCAUUAUCAGUUGUGGCUGACUUCAGAGAAAAGGUUGUAUAAUUUCCUAUCAUUGUGAAAUGUUUCCACUUUCUCUUGCUAUUGCAUGAGUGACCUUGAGUAUUGCCAUAUGUUCAUCUGUUUAUAUAAUGCAUUUCUAGUUUGGAAAAAUGUAUAUUACUUUCAGAAAGUAACAACUCAUUUCCUCUCUUUUUUUUAAUAC
rnacentral:lncRNA from 1 species